rnacentral:rRNA from 1 species
CCUUACCUGGUCUUGACAUCCACAGAACUUUCCAGAGAUGGAUUGGUGCCUUCGGGAACUGUGAGACAGGUGCUGCAUGGCUGUCGUCAGCUCGUGUUGUGAAAUGUUGGGUUAAGUCCCGCAACGAGCGCAACCCUUAUCCUUUGUUGCCAGCGGUCCGGCCGGGAACUCAAAGGAGACUGCCAGUGAUAAACUGGAGGAAGGUGGGGAUGACGUCAAGUCAUCAUGGCCCUUACGACCAGGGCUACACACGUGCUACAAUGGCGCAUACAAAGAGAAGCGACCUCGCGAGAGCAAGCGGACCUCAUAAAGUGCGUCGUAGUCCGGAUUGGAGUCUGCAACUCGACUCCAUGAAGUCGGAAUCGCUAGUAAUCGUGGAUCAGAAUGCCACGGUGAAUACGUUCCCGGGCCUUGUACACACCGCCCGUCACACCAUGGGAGUGGGUUGCAAAAGAAGUAGGUAGCUUAACCUUCGGGAGGGCGCUUACCACUUUGUGAUUCAUGACUGGGGUGAAGUCGUAACAAGGUAACCGUAGGGGAACCUGCGGUUGGA